UCUUCCCUCUUUCUUCGUGCCUAAUACAUGCAAGUCGAGCGAACGGACGAGAAGCUUGCUUCUCUGAUGUUAGCGGCGGACGGGUGAGUAACACGUGGAUAACCUACCUAUAAGACUGGGAUAACUUCGGGAAACCGGAGCUAAUACCGGAUGAUAUUUUGAACCGCAUGGUUCAAAAGUGAAAGACGGUCUUGCUGUCACUUAUAGAUGGAUCCGCGCUGCAUUAGCUAGUUGGUAAGGUAAUGGCUUACCAAGGCAACGAUGCAUAGCCGACCUGAGAGGGUGAUCGGCCACACUGGAACUGAGACACGGUCCAGACUCCUACGGGAGGCAGCAGUAGGGAAUCUUCCGCAAUGGGCGAAAGCCUGACGGAGCAACGCCGCGUGAGUGAUGAAGGUCUUCGGAUCGUAAAACUCUGUUAUUAGGGAAGAACAUAUGUGUAAGUAACUGUGCACAUCUUGACGGUACCUAAUCAGAAAGCCACGGCUAACUACGUG
rnacentral:rRNA from 1 species